UACAGAGGGUGCAAGCGUUAAUCGGAAUUACUGGGCGUAAAGCGUGCGUAGACGGUUACAUAAGUCGGGUGUGAAAGCCCCGGGCUCAACCUGGGAAUUGCAUUCGAGACUGCGUAGCUAGGGUGCGGAAGAGGGAAGCGGAAUUUCCGGUGUAGCGGUGAAAUGCGUAGAUAUCGGAAGGAACACCAGUGGCGAAAGCGGCUCCUGGUCCAGCACCGAC
rnacentral:rRNA from 1 species